rnacentral:rRNA from 1 species
UCGGGGCAGGGUGAGUCGACCCCUAAGGCGAGGCCGAAAGGCGUAGUCGAUGGGAAACAGGUUAAUAUUCCUGUACUUGGUGUUACUGCGAAGGGGGGACGGAGAAGGCUAUGUUAGCCGGGCGACGGUUGUCCCGGUUUAAGCAUGUAGGCUGAUUAUCCAGGCAAAUCCGGAUAAUCAAGGCUGAGGUGUGAUGACGAGGCACUACGGUGCUGAAGUAACAAAUGCCCUGCUUCCAGGAAAAGCCUCUAAGCAUCAGGUAACAUCAAAUCGUACCCCAAACCGACACAGGUGGUCAGGUAGAGAAUACCAAGGCGCUUGAGAGAACUCGGGUGAAGGAACUAGGCAAAAUGGU